UAGAUACCAUGGGGGGUGCAAAGAAAGAUGAAUAAAGCUCCCUGGAAUCAGAGAAAGCCAUCCAGGACAAGAGAAAGAGGGGUCUCCCUCUUCUCCGUCAGAAGGAAAGUGUGUACAAGAAAGCCAACUGAGAAAGGAAGCAUGCUUGCCUGCUGAGUCGGUAAAUAACCAACUUUCUGAGAGCCGAAGUUCAUGCAAUCCCAAGAUAGGCCGUGACCAUCAGAACGGAGGCAGAGUCAAAGUCAAGGGGAACAGAAGGAACCAGGACAAGGAAUUUUGUGAGCUGUUUUACAUCAUGUCAGCAGCCUGAAAUCAGCCACAGUGGGAUUUUUUGCAUUGCGGUAAUGUGCAAAACCUACAAAGCUGAGCUUCAUUCCCCCUCCUGAAUGGUUGCCAAACAUUUAUGGCCACACCAUUGUUGCAGCCAUCCACACAAUGAAGUGUUCCAGCAAGAGUGAAGGACCACUUGG